rnacentral:rRNA from 1 species
AAAAUGUACUUAACCAUUGUUGCGGUUAAAAAGCUCGUAGUUGGAUCUACGCUGCGCGGAACGGUUCGUUCAUUGAGCGUUAACUGUUUCACGUGGCUCUCUUUUGUCGGUUUUCGGCUAGUGUCCUUAACGGGGUGUUAGUUGCGGCUGACGCUUUUACCUUGAAUAAAUUAGAGUGCUUAAAACAGGCGUUUAGCUUGAAUAUGCUAGCAUGGAAUAAUGGAAUAGGACUUUGGUUCGAUUUUAUUGGUUUUAUGAAUUGAAGUAAUGAUUAGUAGGAUCAAACGGGGGCAUCCGUAUUGAUACGUGAGAGGUGAAAUUCUGGGACCGUAGCAAGACGACCGACUG